GAUGAACGCUGGCGGCGUGCCUAGUACAUGCAAGUCGAGCGAACGGACGAGAAGCUUGCUUCUCUGAUGUUAGCGGCGGACGGGUGAGUAACACGUGGAUAACCUACCUAUAAGACUGGGAUAACUUCGGGAAACCGUAGCUAAUACCGGAUAAUAUUUUGAACCGCAUGGUUCAAAAGUGAAAGACGGUCUUGCUGUCACUUAUAGAUGGAUCCGCGCUGCAUUAGCUAGUUGGUAAGGUAACGGCUUACCAAGGCAACGAUGCAUAGCCGACCUGAGAGGGUGAUCGGCCACACUGGAACUGAGACACGGUCCAGCCUCCUACGGGAGGCAGCAGUAGGGAAUCUUCCGCAAUGGGCGAAAGCCUGACGGAGCAACGCCGCGUGAGUGAUGAAGGUCUUCGGAUCGUAAAACUCUGUUAUUAGGGAAGAACAUAUGUGUAAGUAACUGUGCACAUCUUGACGGUACCUAAUCAGAAAGCCACGGCUAACUACGUG
rnacentral:rRNA from 1 species